rnacentral:rRNA from 1 species
UACGUAGGGUGCAAGCGUUGUCCGGAAUUAUUGGGCGUAAAGAGCUCGUAGGCGGUUUGUUGCGUCGGCUGUGAAAUCCCGAGGCUCAACCUCGGGUCUGCAGUCGAUACGAGCAAACUAGAGUGUUGCAGGGGAGACUGGAAUUCCUGGUGUAGCGGUGAAAUGCGCAGAUAUCAGGAGGAACACCAAUAGCGAAGGCAGCUCGCUGGGACGUUACUGACACUGAGGCACGAAGGCCAGGGGAGCAAACGGG